CCUACGGGAGGCAGCAGUAAGGAAUAUUGGUCAAUGGACGCAAGUCUGAACCAGCCAUGCCGCGUGAAGGAUGAAGGCCCUCUGGGUUGUAAACUUCUUUUAUCUGGGACGAAAAAAGGGGAUUCUUCCUCACUUGACGGUACCAGAGGAAUAAGCACCGGCUAACUCCGUGCCAGCAGCCGCGGUAAUACGGAGGGUGCAAGCGUUAUCCGGAUUUACUGGGUUUAAAGGGUGCGUAGGUGGGUCUGUAAGUCAGUGGUGAAAUCUCCGAGCUUAACUUGGAAACUGCCAUUGAUACUAUAGGUCUUGAAUUGUCUGGAGGUAAGCGGAAUAUGUCAUGUAGCGGUGAAAUGCUUAGAUAUGACAUAGAACACCCAUUGCGAAGGCAGCUUACUACGGAUUGAUUGACACUGAGGCACGAAAGCGUGGGGAUCAAACAGGAUUAGAUACCCUGGUAGUCCACGCCCUAAACGAUGGAUACUCGACAUCAGCGAUAUACUGUUGGUGUCUGAGCGAAAGCAUUAAGUAUCCCACCUGGGAAGUACGACCGCAAGGUUGAAACUCAAAUGAAUUGACGGCUGAGACGAGACGACGACGACGACGAGGGAGGAGG
rnacentral:rRNA from 1 species